rnacentral:rRNA from 1 species
AUGAACGCUGGCGGCGUGCCUAAUACAUGCCAGUCGAGCGAACGGACGAGAAGCUUGCUUCUCUGAUGUUAGCGGCGGACGGGUGAGUAACACGUGGAUAACCUACCUAUAAGACUGGGAUAACUUCGGGAAACCGGAGCUAAUACCGGAUGAUAUUUUGAACCGCCUGGUUCAAAAGUGAAAGACGGUCUUGCUGUCACUUAUAGAUGGAUCCGCGCUGCAUUAGCUAGUUGGUAAGGUAACGGCUUACCAAGGCAACGAUGCAUAGCCGACCUGAGAGGGUGAUCGGCCACACUGGAACUGAGACACGGUCCAGACUCCUACGGGAGGCAGCAGUAGGGAAUCUUCCGCAAUGGGCGAAAGCCUGACGGAGCAACGCCGCGUGAGUGAUGAAGGUCUUCGGAUCGUAAAACUCUGUUAUUAGGGAAGAACAUAUGUGUAAGUAACUGUGCACAUCUUGACGGUACCUAAUCAGAAAGCCACGGCUAACUACGUG